GACGAACGCUGGCGGCGUGCUUAACACAUGCAAGUCGAACGGUGAUGCUCCAGCUUUCUGGAGUGGAUCAGUGGCGAACGGGUGAGUAACACGUGAGCAACCUGCCCCAGACUCUGGAAUAAGCGCUGGAAACGGCGUCUAAUACUGGAUACGAAACUGGCCCGCAUGGGCAUGGUUUGGAAAGUUUUUCGGUUUGGGAUGGGCUCGCGGCCUAUCAGCUUGUUGGUGAGGUAAUGGCUCACCAAGGCGACGACGGGUAGCCGGCCUGAGAGGGCGACCGGCCACACUGGGACUGAGACACGGCCCAGACUCCUACGGGAGGCAGCAGUGGGGAAUAUUGCACAAUGGGCGAAAGCCUGAUGCAGCGACGCCGCGUGAGGGAUGACGGCCUUCGGGUUGUAAACCUCUUUCGGCAGGGAAGAAGCGAAAGUGACGGUACCUGCAGAAGAAGCACCGGCUAACUACGUG
rnacentral:rRNA from 1 species